CCUACGGGUGGCUGCAGUGGGGAAUAUUGCACAAUGGGGGAAACCCUGAUGCAGCGACGCCGCGUGAGUGAAGAAGUAUUUCGGUAUGUAAAGCUCUAUCAGCAGGGAAGAAAAUGACGGUACCUGACUAAUAAACCCCGGCUAACUACGUGCCAGCAGCCGCGGUAAUACGUAGGGGGCAAGCGUUAUCCGGAUUUACUGGGUGUAAAGGGAGCGUAGACGGCCAGACAAGUCAGAUGUGAAAGCCCGUGGCUUAACCGCAGAAGUGCUUUUGAAACUGUUUGGCUGGAGUGUAGGAGAGGUAAGUGGAAUUCCUAGUGUAGCGGUGAAAUGCGUAGAUAUUAGGAGGAACACCAGUGGCGAAGGCGGCUUACUGGACUGUAACUGACGUUGAGGCUCGAAAGCGUGGGGAGCAAACAGGAUUAGAUACCCCAGUAGUC
rnacentral:rRNA from 1 species